rnacentral:rRNA from 1 species
GGAUACCCGCUGAACUUAAGCAUAUCAAUAA